UACGGGGGAGGCAAGCGUUAUCCGGAAUUAUUGGGCGUAAAGCGUCCGUAGAUGGUUUUGUCAGUCUGCUGUCAAAGCACAGGGCUUAACCCUGUAAAGGCAGUGGAAACUACAAGACUAGAGUGCAGUAGGGGCAGAGGGAAUUCCCAGUGUAGCGGUGAAAUGCGUAGAGAUUGGGAAGAACACCCGUGGCGAAAGCGCUCUGCUGGACUGCAACUGACAUUGAGGGACGAAAGCUAGGGGAGCGAAUGGG
rnacentral:rRNA from 1 species